CUGAGACUCGCCNCUUUGAAGUCGGAAUCGCUAGUAAUCGCAGAUCAGCAUGUUGCGGUGAAUACGUUUCCUGGUCUUGUACACACCGCCCGUCACACCAUGGGAGUUGGGAGCGCCCGAAGCCGGUGAGGUAACCGAGAGGAGCCAGCCGUCGAAGGUGAGACCAAUGACUGGGGUGAAGUCGUAACAAGGUAGC
rnacentral:rRNA from 1 species